ensembl:snoRNA
AAUCAAUGAUGAACCUAUCCCGAACCUGAUUCUUGAUGAAAAACUUAAAAUAUACGGAUCUGGCUUCUGAGAA